rnacentral:rRNA from 1 species
UUACCCGCUGAAACUUAAGCAUAUCAAUAAGCGGAGGAAAAGAAACCAACAGGGAUUGCCUCAGUAACGGCGAGUGAAGCGGCAACAGCUCAAAUUUGAAAUCUGGCUCUUUCAGGGUCCGAGUUGUAAUUUGUAGAAGAUGCUUCGGGUGUGGCUCCGGUCUAAGUUCCUUGGAACAGGACGUCAUAGAGGGUGAGAAUCCCGUAUGUGACUGGCUGCCUCCGCCCAUGUGAAGCUCUUUCGACGAGUCGAGUUGUUUGGGAAUGCAGCUCAAAAUGGGUGGUAAAUUUCAUCUAAAGCUAAAUAUUGGCCAGAGACCGAUAGCGCACAAGUAGAGUGAUCGAAAGAUGAAAAGCACUUUGGAAAGAGAGUUAAACAGUACGUGAAAUUGUUGAAAGGGAAGCGCUUGCAAUCAGACUUGCGCGCGGUCGAUCAUCCGAUGUUCUCACCGGUGCACUCGACCGUGCUCAGGCCAGCAUCGGUUUCGGUGGUUGGAUAAAGGCCUUGGGAAUGUGGCUCCCUUCGGGGAGUGUUAUAGCCCUCGGUGCAAUGCAGCCUACCGGGACCGAGGACCGCGCUUCGGCUAGGAUGCUGGCGUAAUGGUUGUAAGCGACCCGUCUUGAAACACGGACCAAGGAGUCUAACAUCUAUGCGAGUGUUUGGGUGUCAAACCCAUACGCGUAAUGAAAGUGAACGGAGGUGAGAACCCUUAAGGGUGCAUCAUCGACCGAUCCUGAUGUCUUCGGAUGGAUUUGAGUAAGAGCAUAGCUGUUGGGACCCGAAAGAUGGUGAACUAUGCCUGAAUAGGGUGAAGCCAGAGGAAACUCUGGUGGAGGCUCGCAGCGGUUCUGACGUGCAAAUCGAUCGUCAAAUUUGGGUAUAGGGGCGAAAGACUAAUCGAACCAUCUAGUAGCUGGUUCCUGCCGAAGUUUCCCCUCAGGAUAA